rnacentral:rRNA from 1 species
GACGAACGCUGGCGGCGUGCCUAAUACAUGCAAGUAGAACGCAGUUGCGAACGGGUGAGUAACGCGUAGGUACCUGCCUCAUAGCGGGGGAUAACUAUUGUAAACGCUAGCUAAUACCGCAUACUUUGAGUUGGACUUGCGUUGUAUUAGCUAGUUGGUGAGGUAAAGGCUCACCAAGGCGAAGAUACAUCGCCGACCUGAGAGGGUGAUCGGCCAAACUGGGACUGAGGCAACGGCCCGACUCCUACCGGAAGCAGCAGUAGGGAAUCAUUGGCAAUGGACGGCAGUCUGACCGAGCAACGCCGCGUGAGUGAAGAAGGGUUUCGGAUCGUAAAGCUCUGUUGUUAGAGAAGCGGUAACUAAACAGAAAGGGACGGCUAACUACGUGCCAGCAGCCGCGGUAAUUC